CCCUAGAUGUUCUGGGCUGCACACGUGCUACACUGGCAGGUUCAGCGAGCUUCAUGCCCUGAUCUGAAAGGAAUGGGAAAUCUUUUCAAAACCUGCCGUGCUUGGGAUAGAUGUUUGCAAUUAUUCAUCUUCAACGAGGAUUGCCUUGUAAGCGCACGUCAUCAGCGUGCAUUGAAUACGACCCUGUAUUCUGUACACACCGCCCGUCGCUCCUACCGAUUGAAGUUUUCGGUGAGUUGACAGGAGGAUUUUUUUGAAACUGGUUCGCCAGUGGAUUUUAGAUCCAAAUGCCAACGAAUCGAUGGCUUUAGAGGAAGGAGAAGUCGUAACA
rnacentral:rRNA from 1 species